UUCGUAACGGCGUAGUGAAGUAGGGAAGAAGCCCAAGUUUGAAAGCUGGCACCUUCGGUGUCCGCAUUGUAAACUCGAGAAGCAUUAUCCGCGCCGGACCAGGCUUUAAAUCCUUUGGAAUAAGGUACCUUAGAGGGUGAUAGUCCCUUUCAUAGUCUGGAACCCCCGGGGCUUUGUGAUUUGCUCUCCAAGAGUCGAGUUGUUUGGGAAUGCAGCUCAAAAUGGGUGGUAAAUGCCAUCUAAGGCUAAAUAUAGAGGAGAGACCGAUAGCGAACAAGUACCGUGAGGGAAAGAUGAAAAGAACUUUGGAAAGAGAGUUAAACAGUACGUGAAAUUGCCGGAAGGGAAGGGUAGGAAGUCAGACAUGCCUCUGCGGAUUCAGCUUGACCUUUCGAGGUUGGGUGUAUUUCCGUUUGGGCAGGCCAACAUCGAUUUUGGCUGCCGGAUAUGAGUGUAAGGAAUGUGGCAUCCUCUUCGGGGGGUGUGUUAUAGCCUUGCACUUGGUACGGUGGCUGGGAUCGAGGAACGCAGUGCACCCUUCGGGGCGGGCCUUCGGGCACCUUUGCACAUAGGAUGUUGGCUUAAUGGCUCUCUACCACCCGUCUUGAAACACGGACCAAGGAGUCUAACAUGUAUGCGAGUCUUUGGGUGUGAAAACCCAUGGGCGAAAUGAAAGUGACCUUUAAGGUGGGACUCUUCGGAUGCACCAUCGACCGAUCUUGAAUUUUUAUAAUGACGGAUUUGAGUAAGAGCAUAUAUGUUGGGACCCGAAAGAUGGUGAACUAUGCCCUGAAUAGGGUGAAGCCAGGGGAAACUCUCGUGGAAGCUCGUAGCGGUUCUGACGUGCAAAUCGAUCGUAAAAUUUGGGUAUAGGGGCGAAAGACUAAUCGAACCAUCU
rnacentral:rRNA from 1 species